rnacentral:tRNA from 1 species
UUAUUUUGGCAGAUUAGUGCAUUUGAUUUAGAAUCUUUUUAAGUAAUAUCGUUUACAAGUAAUAU